rnacentral:rRNA from 1 species
GACGAACGCUGGCGGCGUGCUUAACACAUGCAAGUCGAACGGAAAGGCCCUGCUUUUGUGGGGUGCCCGAGUGGCGAACGGGUGAGUAACACGUGAGUAACCUGCCCUUGACUUUGGGAUAACUUCAGGAAACUGGGGCUAAUACCGGAUAGGCGCUCCUGCUGCAUGGUGGGGGUUGGAAAGUUUCGGCGGUUGGGGAUGGACUCGCGGCUUAUCAGCUUGUUGGUGGGGUAGUGGCUUACCAAGGCUUUGACAGGUAGCCGGCCUGAGAGGGUGACCGGCCACAUUGGGACUGAGAUACGGCCCAGACUCCUACGGGAGGCAGCAGUGGGGAAUAUUGCACAAUGGGCGGAAGCCUGAUGCAGCAACGCCGCGUGCGGGAUGACGGCCUUCGGGUUGUAAACCGCUUUCGCCUGUGACGAAGCGUGAGUGACGGUAAUGGGUAAAGAAGCACCGGCUAACUACGUG